rnacentral:rRNA from 1 species
CCUACGGGUGGCAGCAGUGGGGAAUAUUGGACAAUGGGCGAAAGCCUGAUCCAGCCAUGCCGCGUGUGUGAAGAAGGCCUUCGGGUUGUAAAGCACUUUCAGUGGGGAAGAAAGCCUUGGGGCUAAUACCCUCGAGGAAGGACAUCACCCACAGAAGAAGCACCGGCUAACUCCGUGCCAGCAGCCGCGGUAAUACGGAGGGUGCGAGCGUUAAUCGGAAUUACUGGGCGUAAAGCGCGCGUAGGCGGUCUGAUAAGCCGGUUGUGAAAGCCCCGGGCUCAACCUGGGAACGGCAUCCGGAACUGUCAGGCUAGAGUGCAGGAGAGGAAGGUAGAAUUCCCGGUGUAGCGGUGAAAUGCGUAGAGAUCGGGAGGAAUACCAGUGGCGAAGGCGGCCUUCUGGACUGGCACUGACGCUGAGGUGCGAAAGCGUGGGUAGCAAACAGGAUUAGAUACCCGGGUAGUC